rnacentral:lncRNA from 1 species
CCUCUCUCCCUCGCCUGCUCCCCGUUCUCUUGGCUAUGAAAAACGCUAGUGUGUGUUUGGUCUUCGGUCUGUUGCGUGUAGAAUAGCUCCGCAUCCUCAUUGAUAGCCCCUACUUUAGUGAACUUGCGCGCCCCAAAACAUAACAAGCGACGACAUUGCGAAAGACGACAUUGCGAAAGACAGCAUUGCUAUAGACUACAUCUUUUGAUUACCGAUGCGCUGUUUUGACCGUCUGCCUGGUGGCGGACAUGCCUGCCCCUCCCAUCUCUCUUUCUCUCCCUCGCUAGCUCGAUCUUUCUUUGCUGGGAAAGAUGUGUUCUUGAAGUAGACUAUGGAAAAGAAAAGAGGUUCCUCCAUUGCAAAAAUACAGUCGACUCCCCACCACUAUAAUCAAAAAUACUCCGACACCCCCAGGAGCAGCUGGGGGGAGAGACCCGGAGAGAGCAGCAGGUGCUAACAGAGGAAGGAGGGGCAGCAGCGGUAAUGACCUGUCCAAGCUGACCAGGGCCCCUGCAGGUCGGUAAUGACCUGUCCAAGCUGACCAGGGCCCUACAGGUCGGUAAUGACCUGUCCAAGCU